AGCGAACGCUGGCGGCAGGCUUAACACAUGCAAGUCGAGCGGGCCCUUCGGGGUCAGCGGCGGACGGGUGAGUAACGCGUGGGAACGUGCCCUCUGGUUCGGAAUAACUCAGGGAAACUUGAGCUAAUACCGGAUACGCCCUUUUGGGGAAAGGCUUGCUGCCGGAGGAUCGGCCCGCGUCUGAUUAGCUAGUUGGUGAGGUAACGGCUCACCAAGGCGACGAUCAGUAGCUGGUCUGAGAGGAUGAUCAGCCACACUGGGACUGAGACACGGCCCAGACUCCUACGGGAGGCAGCAGUGGGGAAUAUUGGACAAUGGGCGCAAGCCUGAUCCAGCCAUGCCGCGUGAGUGAUGAAGGCCUUAGGGUUGUAAAGCUCUUUUAUCCGGGACGAUAAUGACGGUACCGGAGGAAUAAGCCCCGGCUAACUUCGUG
rnacentral:rRNA from 1 species